CCUACGGGAGGCAGCAGUGGGGAAUAUUGCACAAUGGGGGAAACCCUGAUGCAGCGACGCCGCGUGUGUGAAGAAGUAUUUCGGUAUGUAAAGCUCUAUCAGCAGGGAAGAAGCAAGACGGUACCUGACUAAGAAGCCCCGGCUAACUACGUGCCAGCAGCCGCGGUAAUACGUAGGGUGCAAGCGUUAUCCGGAUUUACUGGGUGUAAAGGGAGCGUAGACGGUAUGGUAAGUCUGAAGUGAAAGCCCAGGGCUUAACCCUGGGACUGCUUUGGAGACUGGUAGGCUAGAGUGAUGGAGAGGUAAGUGGAAUUCCAAGUGUAGCGGUGAAAUGCGUAGAUAUGAGGAGGAACACCAGUGGCGAAGGCGGCUCACUGGACAGUAACUGACGUUGAGGCUCGAAAGCGUGGGGAGCAAACAGGAUUAGAUACCCUAGUAGUC
rnacentral:rRNA from 1 species